CCUACGGGUGGCUGCAGUGAGGAAUAUUGGUCAAUGGGCGAGAGCCUGAACCAGCCAAGCCGCGUGAGGGAAGAAGGUACAACGUAUCGUAAACCUCUUUUGUCAGGGAACAAAGGCGGGGACUAGUCCCCGGCUGCGGGUACCUUAAGAAAAAGCAUCGGCUAACUCCGUGCCAGCAGCCGCGGUAAUACGGAGGACGCGAGCGUGAUCCGGAUUUAUUGGGUUUAAAGGGUGCGCAGGGGGGCUGUUAAGUCAGCGGUAAAAGUCGGGGGCUCAACCCCGGCGAGCCGUUGAAAAUGGCGGGCUGGAGUGCGAGAGAAGUAGGCGGAAUGCGCGGUGUAGCGGUGAAAUGCUUAGAUAUCGCGCAGAACCCCGAUUGCGAAGGCAGCGUACCGGAUCGAGACUGACGCUGAGGCACGAAAGCGUGGGUAUCGAACAGGAUUAGAUACCCGAGUAGUC
rnacentral:rRNA from 1 species